rnacentral:rRNA from 1 species
CAAUAGCGUAUAUUAAAGUUGUUGCAGUUAAAAAGCUCGUAGUUGGAUUUCUGGGAGGGUGCCGCCGUCCGGCGUGUCCGUGUGCAGUGGCGCCCUUCCAUCCUUCUGUUAGCGUCUCUUGGCAUUCAUUUGCUGGUGGCGGGCUCAGAUAUUUUACCUUGAGAAAAUUAGAGUGUUUCAGGCAGGCUAGGCCGGAAUACAUUAGCAUGGAAUAAUGGAAUAGAACUACGGUCUCUUUGUUGGUUUGAGGGACUGCAGUAAUGAUUAAUAGGGAUAGUUGGGGGCAUUAGUAUUUAAUUGUCAGAGGUGGAAUUCUCAGAUUUGUUAAAGACUAACUUAUGCGAAAGCAUUUGCCAAGGAUGUUUNCAUUGA